CAGAGACUUAAGAAGAGUAGAAGUAAGAUGCCUGAAGUAGAAUUUAGAACCACCAUAAUACAAAUACUAGCUGGGGUUGAGAAAAGCAUAGAAUCCCUUUCUGCAGAGAAAAAAGAAGUAAAAUCUAGUCAGAAUGAAAUUAAAAAUGCUAUAAAGGAGAUGCAAACUCAAAUGGAUGCCAUGAUGGCAAAGAUGGAUGAAGCUGAGCAGCAACAAAUCAGCAAUACAAAAGAUAAAAUUAUGGAGAAUAAUGAAGCAUAAAAAAAAGGCAAAAGAGCACCAUACAACACUUAGACAACUCAGUGACUUACUAAAAAGGAAUAAGAUCCAAAUUAUAGGAGUCCCAGAAGAUGAAGAGAGAGAAAAAGGGGCAGAAGGUUUGUGUGAGCAAAUUAUAGUGGAAAACUUUCC